UUCAUGUUCGAUAUCAAGGCGCAAUUAACAGAACUGAAGUUUAACAACAUAUACCUUUGACCACCAGAGUGACACCAGAAACUUGAGAAGAUAUAUACACUUUCUUCCUGUCCAGUAAUUGGAAAUUAAUGAAGAUGAAGAAAACCACGUUGUUAACUUUUUGUGCAAUUUUCUUUGUGCUGAUGAUCUCGUCCACAGCGACACCUGUGGGGCGAAAAUCGAAUUUCGAAACCAUUGUCCGGAGGAUUAUGUCUAACAUAAAAAAUGAGA